UAGUAUUCAAUUGUCAGAGGUGAAAUUCUUGGAUUUAUUGAAGACUAACUACUGCGAAAGCAUUUGCCAAGGAUGUUUUCAUUAAUCAAGAACGAAAGUUAGGGGAUCGAAGACGAUCAGAUACCGUCGUAGUCUUAACCAUAAACUAUGCCGACUAGGGAUCGAAUGAUGUUAAUUUUUUAAUGACUCA
rnacentral:rRNA from 1 species